UGGGGUGGGGUUCAGUGGUAGAAUAAAUGUUUAGCUUGCAUCAAGCCCUGGGUUCAAUCCUCAGCACUGAAA
rnacentral:tRNA from 1 species